AAACUCUCUCCCGUCUGAGUGUUGUCUGUUUCUCUACUCGUCCUGUUCUUUCCCUGCAGAAUGUGAGAGUGUGUGUCAGCAGAGUCCAGGUGGUGUCCUGUCCAGGUGAGUCAUCAGAGCGAGUUCGGCUGCACAGUGGCUUGUUGGUUGGUGUCGCCUUGCUACCAGAAGAUCCCUGGUUUGCAUCCCGGCCUUCCUGGGAUGUUUCUACGUGGGUUUUCUCUGGGUGCUCUGGCUUCCUCCCACAGUCCAAUAACAUGGCCUCCAGUGUGAGAUGCUGUUUGCCAGCGGGACUCUGACAGGAGGUUAAAUGUGGAAAUGAGACCUGAGCGUCUGAUCUCUGCGACCCAAAUAAGGAGAUGAAGCUGGGCUGAAGAGCUCGGCUGGCUGGUUUGUUUGGGUGGAGGAUGGAGUGGAU
ensembl:lncRNA